CGGAGGUGGCGAGCGUUACUCGGAAUCAUUGGGUGUAAAGGGCAGGUAGGCGGUCUAUUAAGUGAGGGGUGAAAUCUCCCGGCUCAAUCGGGAAACUGCCUUUCAUACUGAUAGACUUGAGUGUGAUAGGGGGAAGCGGAAUUAGCAGUGUAAGGGUGAAAUCUGUAGAUAUUGCUAAGAACACCAGCGGCGAAGGCGGCUUCCUGGAUCACAACUGACGCUGAUCUGCGAAAGCUAGGGGAGCAAACAGAAUUAGAUACUCUGGUAGUCCUAGCCGUAAACGAUGAGUACUAGGUGUUGGACCGUAAGGUUCAGUGCCGCAGCUAACGCAUUAAGUACUCCACCUGAGGACUACGACCGCAAGGUUA
rnacentral:rRNA from 1 species